CAAUAGCGUAUAUUAAAGUUGUUGCAGUUAAAAAGCUCGUAGUUGAAUUUCUGGUGGGCGCGCCGGUCUUCCAAGUGUUGUACUGGGCGCAGUCCGCCAUCCUUGUGGAGAGGGCUCGCAUUGAGUUGCGUGUCGGAUCUGCAUCAUUUACUGUGAAAAAAUUAGAGUGUUUAAAGCAGGCUGUCGCUUGAAUACAUUAGCAUGGAAUAAUAAGAUAGGACUUCGGUCUAUUUUGUUGGUUGCGAACCGAGGUAAUGAUUAAUAGGGAUAGUUGGGGGUAUUCAUAUUUAAUUGUCAGAGGCGAAAUUCUUGGAUUUAUGAAAGAUGAACAACUGCGAAAGCAUUUACCAAGGAUGUUUUCAUUAA
rnacentral:rRNA from 1 species